rnacentral:rRNA from 1 species
CGACGUGACUGUGAAUCAUCGAAUCUUUGAACGCAAAUUGCACCCGACGGGUUUACUUGUCGGGUCUGCCUGUCUGAGUAUCACUACGUUCCCAAUUGCUCAUCAGUAAUUGGCUGCUUGUCUACGGACAGAUAUGGGUGUUUGAUUCCUACGGGGUCAAUCGUCUGAAAUCCAUGUGUCUGGAGGACCCAUGUGCCUGGCAUUGUUAAUCAUCCACGGAUGUUCAUUGCUAUCUGCACACCCCCAGUUCACCUUUGUGCUAAACUCAACCCUUAACCUUUGAUCUCAGAUCAGGCAGGAUGACCCGCUGAACUUAAGCAUAUCAAUAAGCGGAGG